UAUACAGCGAAACUGCGAAUGGCUCAUUAUAUAAGUUAUCGUUUAUUUGAUAGUGCCUUACUACUUGGAUAACCGUGGUAAUUCUAGAGCUAAUACAUGCUAAAAACCCCGACUUCGGAAGGGGUGUAUUUAUUAGAUACAAAACCAAUGCCCUUCGGGGCUCCUUGGUGAUUCAUGAUAACUAUACGAAUCGCACGGCCUUGCGCCAGCGAUGGUUCAUUCAAAUUUCUUCCCUAUCAACUUUCGAUGUUUGGGUAUUGGCCAAACAUGGUUGCAACGGGUAACGGAGGGUUAGGGCUCGACCCCGGAGAAGGAGCCUGAGAAACGGCUACUACAUCCAAGGAAGGCAGCAGGCGCGCAAAUUACCCAAUCCCGACUCGGGGAGGUAGUGACAAUAAAUACUGAUACAGGGCCCUUUCGGGCCUUGUAAUUGGAAUGAGUACAAUUUAAAUCCCUUAACGAGGAACAAUUGGAGGGCAAGUCUGGUGCCAGCAGCCGCGGUAAUUCCAGCUCCAAUAGCGUAUAU
rnacentral:rRNA from 1 species